rnacentral:rRNA from 1 species
AACGAACGUUGGCGGCGUGGUUGAGGCAUGCAAGUCGAACGAGAAACCCCGGCUUCGGUUGGGGCGGUACAGUGGCGUAAGGGUGAGUAAUGCAUAGAUAACCUGUCCUGGUGAAGGGGAUAACUUCGCUAACGCGGGGCUAAUACCCUAUAAGACCACGAGGUCACCUGGCUUUGGGGUCAAAGUUUGGGAUCCUGCGGGACCUUUCGCACUAGGAGGGAUCUAUGUCGCAUCAGGUAGUUGGCGGGGUAACGGCCCACCAAGCCUACGACGCGUAGCCGGCCUGAGAGGGUGAUCGGCCACAUCGGGACUGAGACACUGCCCGGACUCCUACGGGAGGCUGCAGUUCGGAAUCAUUCGCAAUGGGCGAAAGCCUGACGAUGCGACGCCGCGUGCGGGAUGAAGGCCUUCGGGUUGUAAACCGCCGUCACCGGUUAGGAAAUGCGCGGAGGUGAAUAGCCUUCGUGUUUGACAAAAGCUGGAGAGGAAGCGCCGGCUAAUUCCGUGCCAGCAGCCGCGGUAAUACGGAAGGCGCAAACGUUGUUCGGUGUCACUGGGCAUAAAGGGUACGUAGGCGGCUUGGCUUGUCGGAAGUGAAAGCCCCCAGCUCACCUGGGGAAUUGCCUUCGAAACGGCCAGGCUUGAGGACCGGAGGGGUGAGCGGAACGUUGGAUGUAGGGGUGAAAUCCUUAGAUAUGCAACGGAACGCCGGAGGUGAAGACGGCUCACUGGACGGUUACUGACGCUGAGGUACGAAAGCGUGGGGAGCGAACAGGAUUAGAUACCCUGGUAGUCCACGCCGUAAACGAUGGGCACUACGUAGGGGGGCUCCUACAGCCUCCCUGCCGUAGCAAAUGCGUUAAGUGCCCCGCCUGGGGAGUAUGGUCGCAAGGCUAAAACUCAAAGGAAUUGACGGGGGCUCACACAAGCGGUGGAGGAUGUUGCUUAAUCCGAAGCAACGCGUAGAACCUUACCCGGGCUUGAACUGCCAGGAUUAGUCUCUUGAAAGAGAGGUGACGCCCUUGGGUGGAACUGGUAGAGGUGUUGCAUGGCUGUCGUCAGCUCGUGUCGUGAGAUGUCGGGCUAAGUCCCUUAACGAGCGAAACCCUUGUCUCUAGUUGCCAGCGGGUUAUGCCGGGCACUCUAGCGAGACUGCCGGUGUUAAACCGGAGGAGGGUGGGGACGACGUCAAGUCAUCAUGGCCCUUACGUCCGGGGCUGCAAACGUCCUACAAUGGCCGGUACAAUGAGCUGCGACACCGCGAGGUGAAGCGAAUCUCUAAAACCGGCCCCAGUUCGGAUUGCAGGCUGAAAUUCGCCUGCAUGAAGUCGGAAUCGCUAGUAAUCGCGUAUCAGCAUGACGCGGUGAAUACGUUCCUGAGCCUUGUACACACCGCCCGUCAAGCCACGAAAGCCGGGGGUGCCCUAAGAUCUGUACCGAACCCAUCCGCAAGGAAGGGACGGAAGGAUCCACGGCAAACCUGGUGAUUGGG